rnacentral:lncRNA from 1 species
CCUGCUAAAAUCCCACAGCUCUGACACACCAUCCCCUGCCACUCUCAAAUCCCACUAAUUUCACGUCUCUCUUGACAUCCAGUUAAAUCUCCUUGUCUUCCCCUUCAACACCCUCCAUAAUGCUACUUGGUCUUUGAUCUCAUUCCUCUUGGUCCUUCUCCUGCCCUUAUUUUCCCAGUCAUCCCUCCUUUGUGCUCAUUUUAUCUGGUUCUUGGAUAGUUCAACUUUUUUUUUUCUUCAGGCUCCUCUGACACCUAGAUCCUUCUCUCAUUUCCUAUUAGCCAAACAUUUUCUCAUUCUGUCAAAUUCAUCUUAAAUCCCUCCUAAUUUUUUCUUCCUUGCUAAUAAUACCCACAAUACCCUCCACCACACACUUUCUCUCUCACACACACACUCUCACAGUUGCACUGAGUUGCCUGAGCUGUUGUCCCAUGUGAUUUUUCCUAGACUCUACCUUCUUCAUCUCAGGAAUUUGUAUUUUUCUUAUGGUGCAUGCCCCAGAAUACAAAUACAUGAGGGCCUUUUCAAAGAGCAACUUUCACUACUUUCGCUUUAUCCUGUUGUCAGAACUUGGCAAGUCUUAUUCUGGUUCCCAGGCUUCCUGUCCAGCUGUACCUUCUCCAAACUGAAAACAAUCUUCUUCAGCCUCUCACGGUACUUUGGACUGGCUACCCAUCCUCAAGGUCCUGAGUUCAAAAACCCAUGGUCUUUAGAGGGUGAAAUGAAAACUUUAGUUCUCAGUACUGUACCUGUGAAAAUCCUGGGAAAAGAGUAUUGAAGGGUUUUUGAUCCAUGCAACUCUGUGUGAUAACAAUCCUUAAAACAAUUUGGCUUUUAUAUGGUAAUUACACACACUGUAAGUCAAUGAGAAUGUAUAAGAAAUGGUAUUUGUUUAGAUGUGUAAUAUGAUUAAUCAUCAACAUUUCAGAGUAGGGGGUAAGAAGACAAAAAAGCAGAUAUUGUCUACAUGUCGAUGAGGCUAUUCAGAAUAGUAACAUUUUUAUUUGUUCCACACUGUAAUAUGCAAAUAUUUCAGUUCAGCAGAGUUCUAGGUCAUAUACUGUUUUCUUAAGGUUUAUUGAAAGAUCAAGAAUCAGAUUUGGAGAAAAGCAG